UUCGCAGGCUGUUCAAUAAGUCAGUGGUGAAAUCUCUCGGCUCAACCGAGAAACUGCCAUUGAUACUGUUGAACUUGAAUAUAGUUGGAGUAGGCGGAAUGUGUAGUGUAGCGGUGAAAUGCUUAGAUAUUACACAGAACACCGAUAGCGAAGGCAGCUUACUAAACUAUUAUUGACGCUCAUGAACGAAAGCGUGGGGAGCGAACAGGAUUAGAUACCCUGGUAGUCC
rnacentral:rRNA from 1 species